UACGUAGGGACCGAGCGUUGUCCGGAAUCAUUGGGCGUAAAGAGCGUGUAGGCGGCCACUUAAGUCCUGCGUGAAAUCUUGCGGCUCAACCGCAAGCGGUCGUGGGAAACUGGGUGGCUAGAGUGCGGGAGAGGAGAGUGGAAUUCCUGGUGUAGCGGUGGAAUGCGCAGAUAUCUGGAGGAAUACCGGUGGCGAAGGCGGCAUCCUGGACCGACAUUGACGCUGAGGAGCGAAAGCCAGGGGAGCAAACGGG
rnacentral:rRNA from 1 species